GUCUGUCUCUCUUACACACACUAGCUCGCUUUCUCUCCCUUUCUGUCCCUCCCUCCCUCUUUCUGCCUCUGUUCUGCCACCUUCUCUACUCGACGAUCACCAUUUGGCUUUUUCCAUUUGUGGCAGAUUACUGUAACGCUAUUGUACAACAACUUCCUGCCUCUUUUGGCUCUGGUUCUAAAAACUGCAAAGGCAGCUCGUGGCUCCAACUUUUUCCCCUCAGCCUUGAACUACAGGAGCUCUAUAAGGAAAGAAAAGGAGGAAGGAGAUAUGUAAAGUGGGUCUUUUACUGAGGAACUAUUUUGAUUGCAUUUCUGCUUUAUAAACUGCUGACAAUUAAAGAGGGCAAGAGGGGACUACAUGCCUAGCAGAGACAAUGAAAGAAAAAAAGGAUUCUGAAGGAACAAGAGGAGGAAAAGAGACACAGAGACAAAACGAGCAAGGGAGAGUUUCUCCUGGGAACAAGCUGGAAAUUAUGGACCUAUUCGAUAUCAGACCUCAGAGUGGACAACCUAUCCAAAGAGGGACGCGCCCUAACUGUAACUAACAACUACCUCUGGCAGCCCUUCAACAGCCUAACAUAUUGUCCUGGACCAGGGCAGCAUCAAACUAGGGCAGCUUAGGCAUUAAAUCCCCAUCAAACUACAGUAUCAAUAAUGCUAUCAACAUGUUGAUAACAAUGCAUUAAAGUAAUUGAAUGUGUUUCAUGAGUUUAUAAGUUUUAUGAGUAAUAGAUUGAGUUGUAAAUUACUAAUACCUUAAGCAAGCUGAGAAAGAAAGGGGAACAAUCCUGACAGUCAGUGCAAAUGUUUUAUUUUAUUAAAUAUUAUGGAUUACAUAAACACGUUUUUUAAAGUGCUGCGAUACUACAAGAACAAAAUUAAACCUUAAUACAACAUGGUAUACUCAUUCCGUCAAUCAAUCCGUUAAUCUAAGAAAUAUAUUAAAGUUGAAGUAAGCAUAAAAUGUUGUACAUUAAUGUGAAAUUAGAUAAAUUAUAUUGUGGAAUCAUUUGAUAUUUAGAAUAAAUGUUUUCUUCAUAUAACUAAAGAACUCCUUUAAACAGAUCAACAAUUUAGGAAUUGUAAUUCCAAUAGUAUUAUGGUAAGCACCAGAGAUGUUUCAAUGUAGUAAAAACGUUAAUAAUUUCUACAACAUAGAUCAUAGUAAUUAAGUGAUCUUACCUAAACUGCACUGUAAAAAUACUGAUCUAAGGCACUAAGUUAACUGAUGUACAUGGACAAAUGAUCAAAAGUCAAUUACGCAUAAUAAUAAAAACGGAAAUUCUCCUUUUUUGUCCACUUGACUAGCCUGUACUCAGCUUCUACAUACCUGAACUCUCCCUUUUCAGUUCUCCCUGAGGGCUGCUAAUACCUACUUUAAAACAGCCUUGCCCAUUUAGUUUUAUUCUCCCUCGACACUCACCAGAAGUGCACAGGCCUGGCAUUUUAGGGGCCACGUCACAACGCCCGUGUCGGCGCCACAGGGCCACAAGGAGUCCAUCAGUCGAGCCAUACACAUUCAGAAAUUCUCAACCAACACGUCAUGCAUGCUGUUUUGUUAUUUUACACAUUCUCUCUUGCAUCCUUACUCUACUGAGAACAGUAAAACAUGCACCUAAUAAGCUUUAUCCAUUUCAUAAACAUGCACUCCUCCUCAUGCCUUCUCCAACACAGACCCACUGAGUCUUCAGCCCCCUGAAUCACUUCACAACACUUUCUUUCUUCUGAUUACCACAGUAAAGUAAGCUCAGUCUCAGAAUAGAUACAGAUACUAUAGAUCUAUAUACUAUAGAUACAAUUUCCAAUUUAGCAAUGCCAUUUAAUGAUGAUAACCAUUUCUAACUUUAAGCACAGGAAAAAAAUAUCCGUGGCUUCCUUUAAAAGGGGACACAGUACUGGUAUUGAUUUAAAAGUGACAAGGAGAAAAACACUGAUUAGGUCAAUACCACUUGGGCUGAAAGACUGUAAUUGAUGUGCAUAAUGUUAUGUAUUUAUCUAUGUGGAAGAAAAGCAGAUCUUCAUAGGAGCUGGCGGUUUUAAUCCUUUGUUUUCUGUAAAUUUAGUCAAAAAUGUUCAUUUCCAGUAAAAUAUUAUUUUUAAGAUGAGCAAAAGACUUUUUAUUCUAUGUAUUACUUCUACCCUGUCUUUUGCUUUGUGUGGUUGCCCAUAUUUAGAGUAUGUAGGCAUUGCUUGUCUAUUUAAAAUAUGUCCUCAUAUUUUAUGUGUCAUAGACUGUAAAUGUUACUCUUUAUAGUAAAGAAAUGACGUUGUUACCUGCCUUUGAGAUAAUAGCUGGACAGUGUUUUAAAGUAGACAAAUUAGUGUGCACACAUACAGUAGUUCUAUUAUUUUGUAUUAUGUUUGGGUCCAUCAGAGAGGCAAGUCAAGACACUGAAUAGCUUGGUUAUCUGAGGACAUAAACAUUCUACAAAGGGUUGUUUCCAUUAAUCUGAAUCUUUAGGGUGCACAGGCAUUUUGCGUAUUUCUGUGUUUUGAGAACUGGUUGCUCUGUGUGCUUCAUACACACAACAGUUGUUUGCUCCUACAGGGUAUACUAGAUAUACUAUUCCUAUUUUAGGUUGACUGUUCUCUUUCUUAUGUAAAUAUGCAAUAUAUUUUAACCUGGAAAUGUUUUAGGCUGUAUGUUUUUCAUACAAAGCCAUUUGAGUUUCAUUUCA